GACGAACGCUGGCGGCGUGCUUAACACAUGCAAGUCGAACGAAGAGCGAUGGAAGCUUGCUUCUAUCAAUCUUAGUGGCGAACGGGUGAGUAACGCGUAAUCAACCUGCCCUUCAGAGGGGGACAACAGUUGGAAACGACUGCUAAUACCGCAUACGAUCUAACCUCGGCAUCGAGGAUGGAUGAAAGGUGGCCUCUAUUUAUAAGCUAUCACUGAAGGAGGGGAUUGCGUCUGAUUAGCUAGUUGGAGGGGUAACGGCCCACCAAGGCGAUGAGCAGUAGCCGGUCUGAGAGGAUGAACGGCCACAUUGGGACUGAGACACGGCCCAGACUCCUACGGGAGGCAGCAGUGGGGAAUCUUCCGCAAUGGACGAAAGUCUGACGGAGCAACGCCGCGUGAGUGAUGACGGCCUUCGGGUUGUAAAGCUCUGUUAAUCGGGACGAAAGGCCUUCUUGCGAAUAGUUAGAAGGAUUGACGGUACCGGAAUAGAAAGCCACGGCUAACUACGUG
rnacentral:rRNA from 1 species